rnacentral:lncRNA from 1 species
AGAUCGCCGCAAAGACUAGGUUCAUCUCGUCCCACGGGAAAAAUCGUUAGAAUACCACACACUUCUGCUCCGGCCUCAACAUCUACCGCCAGAAAAUAUCGUAUCCACCACCACUACCUCCGUAAAGCGAAUUCCUCAGCGCACGCGUCCGUCGAUAUCCCCUCCGUGCGAUUCCUCGAUAUCUCCAGAAUCCACACCCAAUCCAACAACGUCCAACAAGAGUUCGAGAUUACAAAGGGAAAACAACAGCGAUCCAACACCGCCUCUGCCAAUGAAAAAUUCUUCUCCUCCGACAGGUGAUAGAACAUGCAGUGAAAGAUUUGUUUGACUCGAUCGAAGUAUCAUGUAUUACUUUACGGGUUUUAAGUUUUACCAAGCACGAUUUGAGAAGAAUAGUCUGACGAGGUCAGCCAGGGGAUGGUUAUCUUCGAUUUGGGGAUUCCCGGAGUAGCAACAGCGAGUGUCAGUGUAGCGCUUCACGAUGCUCUGAUAUCAUGAAAAAGGAGAUAAAACAGAGCAAGGCGUGCACAGAUGGGCGAUUACUGGUCGAAAGUUUGAAAUACGAAUAAAGGAGGCGACGCUUGGGAAACCCUAAAAGGGUUUGAGUUUUUGUAUAUUGGAAAAAGUAAUCUAAACUAUUACAAGAUUUGGUAUAUAUACCUAUGCUAAUUUACGGGCCUUGAGUAUGGACCUAUAUAACUUAACUUAGAGAUAAAAGAUUUAACUAAAUGGAUAAUGGAUAAAUUAAACUAAUUCCAUUCUCUUAUACUUCAAUAGUCUAUAAUUACUGGUAGUCUAAAACAUUACACCAAUUAUUUAAGCAAGAGCUAUGAUAUGGUUGAUAAUGCGAUGCCAAUAGCUUUGUCGUCUGGUUAUCUCCCGAGUUUUGCAACCUUCUUCUUCCCAAGUACUUCAAGGGUUAGACUAGGUCGAUCCAAGAUGGGUCGGAUGGGGCCAGUGAGAUCGAAACACUUCGAAAGUUAGGGAUAAUUUUACUUUUAGCCCAUAAAGUUUGGGUGGAACCUCAAGUUUUCGAGAAUUCCAAUCGAGUCCAUGGAAUUUUUCUGGACCGUUGAUCGGGAUUAUUCGACCAAUUGAAGUUGUUGACUAUACAUACGAUCGGACCACAAUCCACCCAUGGUUUUCUCUCCCAACCGAUCGCUCGUCCAAGUGUGUUCAUGACGUCCAAUGCUUUCCUUUGUGCCCUCUGCAUUUCAAAUAAGCCAUUCAAUAUUAUAUCAUGUUUUCAACUUCAAAUAAAAAUAACGUUGAAAGUGUGUUCAGCAUAUUCAGAAAGAAUUGCAACUGCAGUAUCAUAAACUUCAUCAAGCACUUUGGAAGAAUUACGGUCAGACUGCAUAAGCCAAAAUGUAGUUUUUUUUAAAAUAUGGUAUUCGUCUGAGUAUAUAAUUUAACUAAUGCCAAUAUGGUAUCUCCAGAUCGCCGAGCGUGAACCACGGAAGCAGAUCAGACUGGCAUUGUUGGGGUGCACCCAAGUCUUCUAUCAACAAGGUAAAAAAAUCUACAAGUUGUGUGUUUUCAUUGUUAAAUGAUUGAAUGAACAUGUUGUAGGCUUGGGAACAUAUGCAGCAGCAGCACCGGAGAUGCAGAUGCCUUGUUUGUCGGGGAAACAGAUGCCACAAGCAUGAUCAGAUUCUCUUCGGUCAAUUUUUCAUUUCGUUUAAAAAGUAGUUUCUUACAUUUUGUAGAAACUUAAUUAAUUUUGUUUGGAAUUUGAAAAUCUCUACAAUGUUAGCUUAUUUUGUUCAGAGUGAAUGUUAUAUUAAAUAAGUAAAUAAUUCAGCAAUUUCGAAAAAACGACACUACUAAAUUAACUAACCAACAGACCAAAAUACAUUAGAUUAAACAAAAACAGAAUUAAAUCAACUAAUUAAGAAUUAAUCAUUUAUUAAAAAAACAAAAUUUGAAAACAAAAAUGUACUAAGAGUGAAAAAUCUAAGACUUCAAAACAUAAUUGUAUUUUAGAUACGAAAUUAAAGUGCUAGAACAAUCCAAAACAAAGUAGAUACCACAAAAAAGUAAGCACGAUAAAAAGCAUAGAUAGAUGAUAAUAAUGAUAUAUCUCAAUAAACAGAAACAGUUUUCUACUUCUUAUCCUCCUUCUCGGCCUCAGCUGCCUUCUUCAAGCGUGCACCAUGAUGACGCUUGUUCAUCCUUUCGAGACGAAGCUUGCCAUAAGCAGAGAACUUCUUCAUCUCCUCAGUAACCUUUACGAUCUCCACUGUUGGUUGAGAGUUGACGAUCGGCAUGUAAUCACCGGUUACCUGAGUUGCAUUUGACAACUCUUCGAGGGUAGAAUCACCAGCCUACAUAUACAUAAAUACAUAAAAGCAGAUGAUAGUCUGAUUUAAUAUGAUUUCAGAUAUACAAAGCAAAUUAACAAAUAGCUACUGGUAUGGAUUUUAGAGUUGAUAUCAAAUUACCUUGAAUUUUCCAGCCCUCUUGGGGAAGAUUACAAGCUUGGCUUUGUAGGUUUUCAACCUCUCGACAUUGGUCUGAAGACCCUCCAAUGAGCGGUUUUUCCGACGAUGAUCAAAAGCAAUGCCAAUGGUCGGGGCUAACUUUUUGGGAAUUCCUGCAACCUGUGGUUUGAAAAAAUAUUUGCAAAUACAGUUAAUAAAUCAUUGUUUUGGAAAAAAAAAACAAAUCAUGAGGGGAAAUAAUUGAAUAUAUCAUAUUGCCUUGAGUUCCUCAAGACUGAAACCCCUUCCAGCCCUAGUCUUCAUAUUAUAUUUCCUAGUCUGGCAUUGCACUAUGGGUCGGAGAAGACCAGCUGUUGGCCGUGGGAAGACCUUCACAGCUUUUUUCUGUCUUGCUGUGAAAUAGUUAUGUAAACAUGUAGUGAGAUUUCUUCAUUGAAUCAGAUAUUAACGAUUAAAAAAAUCUCAAGAAUGAUGGAAAAUUGCCAACUUACCGAUUCUUCUCCUCUGCUUCCUUAAAGGUUGGUUAAACCAUGUCUUGACAUGAUUUUGCCAUUUUUUCCUGAAAUGGCCAGGAGAAAUAACAUUGUUGUGCUUCAUUGUUGUUACCUGAAAAUAAAGAGAUGCAGACAAAGUUAAGCUUGAUGCAUUGAUAAUGUUUUAUAUAAUAAACUAAUCUUUAGAAAACAGAAGAAGAAAUAUAAAGUUUUAUUAUUAAAAUCUAAAGUAAAUCAGGAGGACAAUGAACAUACAUUUCGCAAGUAUAAUCAUUGAAACAAUGAAAUCAAAAAUGUUACUAAAAAAAUAGGACGGAACCACACAGAUUUUAUAAAUUAUUCUAAAAAAACCAAAAUAAAAUCUAAGAAAUCCCAAAUACUCCCAAACACGUAACUAGAACAUAAAUCCGUCACGAACAAUAAAGAUACGGAAGUGUAGAAACAACAUAAAAGAUCUACGUGACAGAAGAAGAAGAAGAAGAAAAAAUCGGAGACGUGCAGUUACCUGGUUAGGCUGGUUUGAUCGGAGACGGCCGCCUAGGGAUGGUGAUAACAGACCAAACCCUAAACUUUGUAUAUAUAGUUUGGUUUGGUGGAUAAAUAUAUUUAGUUAUUUUUGUAAAAUGGAUCAAAUGACCCGAUCCGACCCGAUCCAUAAUAAUGUAUUUGUGUUAUAAUUUUAGACGAACGGACACGAUGAAGUUGUUCAUAAUAUGCGGUCAAGAUAGUAGAGCCAUCUUAUUACUAAAUAUAUUUUUGGCCGUAAAUAAAUCGCAAUUCAUAUUUAUAGAUGGAUUAUUAUUGUAAAGUCGAAAGACAACAACGUAUUCUGAUUUCUGAAUCUGUUCUUACUGGUCAAACUGCUGCCCGGCCGGAAUCUGUCUCUCGUUCUUUCUAAUCUGAAUUUUCCUGGCCAUUUCAGGAAAAAUUGGCAAAAUUAUGUGAAGACAUGGUUUAACUAACCUGCAAGGAAGCAAUCUUUCAUUAUUCUUGAGUUUUUUUAUCAUUAAUAUCUGAUUCAAAGAACAUAUCCGCAGGUGUUAAUGAUAUUAUCAGAUAUGUUCUUUGAAUCAGAUAUUAAUGAUAAAAAAAACUCAAGAACAAUGGAAUUACCAAUUCUUCUCCUCUGCUUCCUUGCAGGUUGGUUAAAAAAUGUCUUGACCUGUUUUAAUCAACUAAUUUUUAAAAAACAGAAGAAAAAAUAUAAAGUUUUGUUAUUAAAAUCUAAAGUAAAGUUUUGUAAUUUAAAAAUAUAAAGUUUUGAGAUCAAAAAUAUAAAGUUUCCGUCAGUAAAAUCAAUAAAUCAAUAAACGUCGAAGAUAAAAAUCAAUAAAUCCGUCAGUUACCUGUCGAAGAUGAAAUCACCGGUGAUAUCAGUUACCAGUUGAAGAUGAAACCAGUGAGUUUGUGAUCUCAGUUCAUCGAUGAUUUGCUAUUUAUAGUUUAAGUUUUGUGAGUUUUUUACAAUAACUAAUCCGGUGAGUUUGUUAGGAGAUACAACAAAAAACGUCAGGUGAGUUUGUUACGAGAUACAACAAAAAACGUCCGGUGAGUUACAACAAAAAACGUACGAGAUACACAAGUUCUAAUCUGAUUUUUAUAUCCGUAUGAUGGGGCCUCCUCGUUCGCCUUUGAAGCCAACUCCAGUUAGAUCGCCGCAAAGACUAGGUUCAUCUCGUCCCACGGGAAAAAUCGUUAGAAUACCACACACUUCUGCUCCGGCCUCAACAUCUACCGCCAGAAAAUAUCGUAUCCACCACCACUACCUCCGUAAAGCGAAUUCCUCAGCGCACGCGUCCGUCGAUAUCCCCUCCGUGCGAUUCCUCGAUAUCUCCAGAAUCCACACCCAAUCCAACAACGUCCAACAAGAGUUCGAGAUUACAAAGGGAAAACAACAGCGAUCCAACACCGCCUCUGCCAAUGAAAAAUUCUUCUCCUCCGACAGGUGAUAGAACAUGCAGUGAAAGAUUUGUUUGACUCGAUCGAAGUAUCAUGUAUUACUUUACGGGUUUUAAGUUUUACCAAGCACGAUUUGAGAAGAAUAGUCUGACGAGGUCAGCCAGGGGAUGGUUAUCUUCGAUUUGGGGAUUCCCGGAGUAGCAACAGCGAGUGUCAGUGUAGCGCUUCACGAUGCUCUGAUAUCAUGAAAAAGGAGAUAAAACAGAGCAAGGCGUGCACAGAUGGGCGAUUACUGGUCGAAAGUUUGAAAUACGAAUAAAGGAGGCGACGCUUGGGAAACCCUAAAAGGGUUUGAGUUUUUGUAUAUUGGAAAAAGUAAUCUAAACUAUUACAAGAUUUGGUAUAUAUACCUAUGCUAAUUUACGGGCCUUGAGUAUGGACCUAUAUAACUUAACUUAGAGAUAAAAGAUUUAACUAAA